UGUAUUAUUAGUUAAUGCAAGAUCGACUACGUCGACUAAAGUUCUAGGUAGAAUAAUGAUGAUGACAAUUUUUUACCUAUAUGUCUUGACCAAGUCUCGUGCCAGCAGUCGCGGUAAUACGUGGAAGACUAGUGUUAUUCAUCUUUAUUAGGUUUAAAGGGUACCUAGACGGUAUUUCUAGCCCAAAAUAGGGUACGGAUUUACUAGAGUUUUAUGUGAGGAGGGGAGUACUCGUGGAGUAGAGAUGAAAUUUUGUUAUACUAUGAGGUAACUGGUAGCGGCGAAAGCAACCUUCUAUGUAUAAACUGACGUUGAGGGACGAAGGCUUGGGUAGCAAAUAGGAUUAGAUACCCUAGUAGUCCAAGCAGACAAUUCUGAAUGCCAUAGAUUAGAUUAUUUUUGAUCUAUAAAUGAAAGUGUAAGCAUUCCACCUUAGGAGUAAUGUGGCAACACAGGAACUGAAAUCAUUAGACCGUUUCUGAAACCAGUAGUGAAGUAUGUUAUUUAAAUUGAUGGUCCACAAAAAACCUUACCACAACUUGAAUAUUUUUAAUUAAUACAAGCGUUGCACGGCUGUCUUCAGUUAAUGUCGUGAGAUUUUGGUUAACUCCAUUAAUUAACGUAAACCCUUACUUU
rnacentral:rRNA from 1 species